rnacentral:rRNA from 1 species
GAUGAACGCUGGCGGCGUGCCUAAUACAUGCAAGUCGAGCGAACAGAUAAGGAGCUUGCUCCUUUGACGUUAGCGGCGGACGGGUGAGUAACACGUGGGUAACCUACCUAUAAGACUGGGAUAACUUCGGGAAACCGGAGCUAAUACCGGAUAACAUUUGGAACCGCAUGGUUCUAAAGUGAAAGAUGGUUUUGCUAUCACUUAUAGAUGGACCCGCGCCGUAUUAGCUAGUUGGUAAGGUAACGGCUUACCAAGGCGACGAUACGUAGCCGACCUGAGAGGGUGAUCGGCCACACUGGAACUGAGACACGGUCCAGACUCCUACGGGAGGCAGCAGUAGGGAAUCUUCCGCAAGGGGCGAAAGCCUGACGGAGCAACGCCGCGUGAGUGAUGAAGGGGUUCGGCUCGUAAAACUCUGUUAUUAGGGAAGAACAAAUGUGUAAGUAACUGUGCACGUCCUGACGGUACCUAAUCAGAAAGCCACGGCUAACUACGUG